AUGCCCUCGGCCACCAGCCAGAGCGGGAGCGGCAGCAAGUCGUGUGGACUACCACCGUGUCGGGUUCCUUCGGUAGCGGGGCGGCCGUGGGAUCCGGGGCCGCCGCGCCGGCUUCUCAGCACCCUGCAACCGGCACUGGCGCUGUGCAGACCGAGGCCAUGAAGCAGAUCCUCGGGGUGAUCGGUAAGAAACUUCGGAACCUGGAGAAGAAAAAGGGUAAGCUUGAUGAUUACCAGGAACGAAUGAACAAAGGGGAAAGGCUUAGUUGGAUGCCUUUUCUAAGUACCAGGAAGUCACCAAUAAUUUGGAGUUUGCAAAAGAAUUACAGAGCACUUUCAUGGCACCAAGUCAAGAUAUUCAGAAAACAAUAAAGAAGACAGCACGUUGGGAGCAGCUUAUGAGAGAAGAAGCUGAACAGAAACGUUGAAAAACUAUACUUGAGCUACAGUAUGUUUUGGACAAAGUGGGAGAUGAUGAAGUGCGAACUGACCUGAAACAAGGUUUGAAUGGAGUGCCAAUACUGUCCGAGGAGGAAUUGUCAUUGUUGGAUGAAUUCUGUAAGUUAGUGGACCCUGAACCGGACAUGAGCUUGAGGUUGAAUGAACAGUAUGAACACGCCUCCAUUCACCUGUGGGACCUGCUGGAAGGGAAGGAAAAAUCUGUAUGUGGAACCACCUAUAAAGUUCUAAAGGAAAUUGUCGAGUGUGUUUUUCAGUCAAACUACUUUGACAGCACCCACAACCACCAGUGAGGAAGAAGAGGCAGCCUCGGCACCUACAGUUGAAGACCAGGUAGCUGAAGCUGAACCUGAGCCAGCAGAAGAGUACACCGAGCAAAAUGAACUUGAAUCAACAGAGGAUGUAAAUAGACAGUUCAUGGCCGAAACACAGUUCACCAGUGGUGAAAAGGAGCAGGCAGAUGAGUGGACAGUUGAAACAGUUGAGGUGGUAAAUUCACUCCAGCAGCAGCCUCAGGAGUCAUCAUCCCCUUCCGUAUCACAGACCCACUCUUUGACUAGAGUGGCUCAAGCAGAUCCCCUUGUGAGAAGACAGUGAGUGCAAGACCUUAUGGCACAGAUGCAGGGUCCCUAUAAUUUCAUACAGGAUUCAAAGCUGGAUUUUGAAAACGAGACACUUGAUCCUGCUAUUGUAUCUGCACAGCCUAUGAAUCCAGCACAAAACAUGGGCAUGCCCCAGCUGGUUUGCUCUUCAGUUCAUUCUGAAUCUAGACUUGCUCAGCCUAAUCCAGUUCCUGUGCAACCAGAAGC